AACCAAUGAGGUUCAUUCUCGUGUUACGCAGCACGUUUGAGCUUCAACGAGAACCAAUGAGGUUCAUUCUCGUGUUACGCAGCACGUUUGAGCUUCAACGAGAACCAAUGAGGUUCAUUCUCGUGUUACGCAGCACGUUUGAGCUUCAACGAGAACCAAUGAGGUUCAUUCUCGUGUUACGCAGCACGUUUGAGCUUCAACGAGAACCAAUGAGGUUCAUUCUCGUGUUACGCAGCACGUUUGAGCUUCAGCGAGAACCAAUGAGGUUCAUUCUCGUGUUACGCAGCACGUUUGAGCUUCAUCGAGAACCAAUGAGGUUCAUUCUCGUGUUACGCAGCACGUUUGAGCUUCAACGAGAACCAAUGAGGUUCAUUCUCGUGUUACGCAGCACGUUUGAGCUUCAACGAGAACCAAUGAGGUUCAUUCUCGUGUUACGCAGCACGUUUGAGCUUCAACGAGAACCAAUGAGGUUCAUUCUCGUGUUACGCAGCACGUUUGAGCUUCAUCGAGAACCAAUGAGGUUCAUUCUCGUGUUACGCAGCACGUUUGAGCUUCAUCGAGAACCAAUGAGGUUCAUUCUCGUGUUACGCAGCACGUUUGAGCUUCAUCGAGAACCAAUGAGGUUCA